AACGCACAUUGCGCCCCUCGGCAUUCCGAGGGGCAUGCCUGUUCGAGCGUCAUUAACACCACUCAAGCCCUGCUUGGUCCUGGAUCGCGCCGGUCAGCGGCCGAUCUCAAAUCCAGUGGCGACGCCCACCGGCUUCCCGUGAAGUACAUCUCUCGCGCGGCGGUCGUGGGUGCGUUGGCCAGAAGCCCUCUCCUCAGGUUGACCUCGAAUCAGGUAGGAAUACCCGCUGAACUUAA
rnacentral:misc_RNA from 1 species